UACAGAGGGUGCGAGCGUUAAUCGGAAUUACUGGGCGUAAAGCGUGCGUAGACGGCUAUCUAAGUCGGGUGUGAAAGCCCCGGGCUCAACCUGGGAAUUGCAUUCGAGACUGCAUAGCUAGGGUACGGAAGAGGGAAGCGGAAUUUCCGGUGUAGCAGUGAAAUGCGUAGAUAUCGGGAGGAAUACCGAUGGCGAAGGCAGGUCUCUGGGCUAUAACUGACGCUCAUGCACGAAAAGCGUGGGGAGCAAACAGG
rnacentral:rRNA from 1 species